rnacentral:rRNA from 1 species
AACGACCUACGGGGGGCAGCAGUGGGGAAUAUUGCACAAUGGGGGGAACCCUGAUGCAGCAAUGCCGCGUGAAGGAUGAAGGUUUUCGGAUUGUAAACUUCUUUUGUACGAGACGAAGAAAGUGACGGCACCGUAAGAAUAAGCCACGGCUAACUACGUGCCAGCAGCCGCGGUAAUACGUAGGUGGCAAGCGUUAUCCGGAUUUACUGGGUGUAAAGGGCGAGCAGGCGGGAUUGCAAGGC